CAGCCGCGGUAAUACGCCAGGGUGCGAGCUGUUAAUCGAAAUUACUGGGCGUAAAGCGCAUGCAGGUGGUGUGUUAAGUCAGAUGUGAAAGCCCGGGGCUCAACCUCGGAAUUGCAUUUGAAACUGACAGACUAGAGUACUGUAGAGGGGGGUACAAUUUCAGGUGUAGCGGUUAAAUGCGUAGAGAUCUGAAGGAAUUCCGGUGGCGAAGUCGGCCCCCUGAACAGAUGCUCACGCUCACAUCCUAAAGCGUGGGGAGCAAACAGGAUUAGAUACCCUGGUAGUCCACUCCGUAAACGAUGUCUACUUGGAGGUUGUGGCCUUGAGCCGUGGCUUUCGGAGCUAACGCGUUAAGUAGACCGCCUGGGGAGUACGGUCGCAAGAUUAAAACUCAAAUGAAUUGACGGGGGCCCGCACAAGCGCUGGAGCAUGUGGUUUAAUUCGAUGCAACGCGAAGAACCUUACCUACUCUUGACAUCCAGAGAACUUAGCAGAGAUGCUUUGGUGCCUUCGGGAACUCUGAGACAGGUGCUGCAUGGCUGUCGUCAGCUCGUGU
rnacentral:rRNA from 1 species